rnacentral:tRNA from 1 species
GGAGAGGUGGCCGAGUGGUUGAAGGCGCUGCUCUCGAAAAGCAGUAUGCGGGCAACCGUAUCGAGAGUUCGAAUCUCUCCCUCUCCGCCA